UACGGGGGGGGGUAAGCGUUGUUCGGAAUUACUGGGCGUAAAGGGCUCGUAGGCGGCCAACUAAGUCAGACGUGAAAUCCCUCAGCUUAACUGGGGAACUGCGUCUGAUACUGGAUGGCUUGGAUUCGGGAGAGGAAUGCGGAAUUCCAGGUGUGGCGGUGAAAUGCGUAGAUAUCUGGAGGAACACCGGUGGCGAAGGCGGCAUUCUGGACCGAUAUUGACGCUGAGGAGCGAAAGCCAGGGGAGCAAACGGG
rnacentral:rRNA from 1 species